ACUUCUAUUUCAAGUUAAUUUUAUUAAUUUUUAUUUAUUUAUUUUUAUUGAAUUUAUUUUUGAUUUAUUUAAGUGAAAUUUUUAUUUUAUUUAUUAUUUUGGUUAUUGAUUAUAAUAAAAUUGGUUUUUAAACUAGGAUUAGAUACCCUAUUAUUCCAAUUGUGUAUUAAUUAAAUUUAUUAUUAUAAGUUAUGUCUUUAAAAUAAAAGGGUUUGGCGGUAAUUUAAUCUUUUCAGAGGAAUCUGUUCUAUAAUUGAUAAUCCACGUUUAAUUUUACUUUAAUUUGGUUUGUAUACCUCUGUCAUUGAAUGUCUUAUUAGGGUAUUUUCUUAUUAUUAUUAUAUAAUUUAUGUCAAGUCAAGGUGCAGCGUUGUUAAAGGUUGAAAUGGGUUACAUUUAGUGUUUAUUAAUUGAAUCAAUUUAUUGAUAUUUUUUGUUAAAUAGGAUUUGAAAGUAAGAUUAAUUAUAUUAUUAAUCUGAUUUUGGCUCUAAAUUAUGUACAUAUCGCCCGUCACUCUCAUCUUUAAAGUGGGAUAAGUCGUAACAAAGUAAUUUUAUCGGAAGGUGAGGUUGGAAUAGAUUU
rnacentral:rRNA from 1 species